CACUCCCCCAGGCCGCCCACAUCCGGUUUUUCUUUCGCCCAGAUCAGCCAUCUUUGCUGAGGGCAGCUGUGGCGCGUGAGAUGGCACUCAGAUAAAAGAUACGAUGAUUUUGAGGUUGUGACCCAGUCCAAGGAGCCCUUGCCAGAGGCUGAACAGACUCUCCCUUUGCUCCUGACGCAGCCUGGCAUGACGCCUUCCCUACCUGUGCUCCUGCUGAGAUGCGUUCUGUUGUCAGGAGGUCAGAUGGUGUUGGCUGCCCCACUGCACUUACAGAAGUUAUUCACUUGAUGUGCCUGUCAUCUGGGAGCAGAUCAGUAUUUACAAAUGCUUUCACCUACAUAAGUGCUUAUGGCUGUCAGAGGAGCCCCAAGGGAGAUUCUUGAGGUUUCCCUGACACAGAAAUCUGCUUUGGACAUCCUUGCCUACUUCUCUACUCAGCGACAUCUGUGGAGCCAGGGAAACAGCCCUCAAACGUCUCCUCAAGAGCAGAAGGGAGGAGAGCAGAAGACUGGGAAGUCUGGGGUGACAGUGAGCCUUCACACCAAACUUGUUCUGACUCUCAGUGACUGAAAUCCUUCUCUGUAUCCACAUAGUGCCAUAAUGUUCAGUUCUGCAAAGCCUCCACACAAGCUGCUCUGAGACACAGUGAACAGCAGGCAAACAGCUAUGAGUCCCUUCUAUAGGGAACUCAUAGUGCCGGUUGGGCUGUCACGUACCCAGUGCCAUGAGAGCAGGCAGCAUCUUCAACCCAGAAAGGGCCAAGAGAGCAUUUCCUGCUGGGUUACCUAGAGCGAUGAGGCAGAACUGUUGACUGAGGGCACAGCAUGAUGGAGGAAGUGCCUCCAGCCCUUGGGUGGCACCAGGGAUGCAGGUGGAGGGGGUGAUGAACCUGGGAAGGAGCACAGGCCAAUCUCAACGGGCUGCGAAGGCCUGGAGUGGGAGUUUGGGCCGGAAGACAGAGUUUUCCAUGUUAGUCAAGGCCCUUUGGGUUGCAAGGGUGGAACCCAAUUUGAACUAAUCCCUGCAGGAAGGACAAUUUAGGGGUGAACAGAGAAUCUGAGGAAGGCCUGAAUCAGCAGGUGAGGAAGCCCAGGACGCUGUUGACCUACCAGAGACUUGGACACCAUCUCAAUUCUCUCUUGGUUGGCUCCAUUUUUCUUUUGUGUGGAAGGCUAACUUUAUAUGGAGGAAUUUUGGAGAAGGGAUUACUGGCCCACAGUUAGGUCAGCCUCACACCCCUUCAUGAAUCAGAAGUUGCAGUUACAUGUUCACAGAGUUGCCCUGAUAAUCGUCAGCAGAAGCCAGUGAGGACAGGGCCUAAAGGAGCAGGCAACCCCAGAACAAUCCCCCGAGUUUGCGGAGCAGAGUAAAAAUAUGGCCCCAUUCAACCUCCAUUUGGGGAAGAGUAGGCAUUAGAGACGAGAGUUUUUUCCUUUUAUUCAUAAAAACAAAUUUGCAACAAUUUAUUAAAAAUUGAUACCAUGCAGUAGGGGAAGGAGAAAUUCCUCAUUUACAUUUGAUUCUGGCAGUUCCAGUCUAAUUUAAAGCAGUUGUGCACUAACAUCAUUGGAAAAUGCCUUCAGGCCAAAGCCUCUUGGAAAUGGACAGUGUGGUGGUUGCAUAUAAAAGAACAGAACCUUUAAAUAGCUAGAGUCACCUCUGUGGGUCUUGUUAUUUGCGGGAAAUUAAAAAACAAAACGGGUGAGCCUACAGGAUCAGUAAGACAGAAUGUACUCUGUGGGUUAACCUAGAAGACGGAGCACGUUUUUGGAGUCACAAAGGGUUACAGACGCACGCUCACCUCCGACAGUCCAAUACUUUGUUUGUUUGUUUUCCUGCUAUGUUGGAAUAGUAUUUCUACAGGUA